UGGAUGGAACAUGCUCACUGGCCAGGUGAAGGUCACGUGACCAUCCUCUCUAGGAGACUUGCUAACUGUUCGCCCUGAGUCUGGGUGGGAAAUUGUGUGAUUCCGUGAGCGGAGGUCGGAAUCCAGUUCCUGUGUUCUCUGUUUCCUGGGAUGUACCUGCUAGCAUCCUCUUCCCAUACCUAGCCCUCCUGUUUACAAAAGAAUUCCUGAUUCAUCUUCUCCCUUCCCAAGCUCCAUUUCACCCACUCACACCACAAAGGAGCAAGACCACCUGUUUGAAGACACGGUGGGGGUCGCCGCCCAGCCCCCACACUUGCUCUUUGUGUCCUUUUACACAGAUUCAUUCAGUCAACAAACUUCCACUGAGCCCCUGCUACACGCUGGAAUAGGUUUGCAGGACCGUUAGUUCUGAGUACUAGGCGCCACCCAGGGGCCUCCCAAAGGGAUCCAGUUUUUGUCUGAGGAAGCGUCUGGAGAUUAAAUCGGUCAUGGCUUCUUGAAAUAGAGACUCUUGGUGUGUUGGUGGAGGAACCUUUGUGAAGCAGGCUCAGUGGGGAGAACAUUUUCUUCUGGAGGAGUCUAGUUUCUCUUCACUCUGAAUAUUUGGGGACUUGAAUUAACUACGCUGGAAGACAUUGGAAAACAGAGAACCUAAGAACAGAAACUGGAUUAGCUGUCCUUCCAAAAGACAGGAGCAGCAGCUGGACUCCAUGAUUACUGAAAAAACUCGCUCAUGAUUCUGGAGAUAUGGUUCUGCUGAGGACGUCUGGCUUGAACAUCAGUAGUUAAGGCUUUCAUGUCCACGGGUGGUUUAAAGUUGACCUCCUGAUGACCUCUGCUGUUGGUCACUGACCAUGGGAAAUUAAGAAUUUAAAACAGCACAAUGCUGGAAAUGCUGAUUGUAGAAAGUUUGAUGGAAGAAUUUAUUAAAAUAUUUAUUCAUUUGGGCGUGUUGGGUCUUAGUUGCGGCAUGCAGAAUCUUUCAUUGUGGCGUGUGGGCUUCUCUACUUGUGGCAGUCAGAUUCUAGAGUAUGAACUCUGUUGCCCCAUGACAUAAAGGAUCUUAGUUCCCAGGCCAGGGAUGGAACCCAUGU